rnacentral:rRNA from 1 species
CAGUCGCCACGGUAAUACAGAGGGUGCGAGCGUUAAUCGGAUUUACUGGGCGUAAAGCGUGCGUAGGCGGCUAAUUGAGUCGGAUGUGAAAUCCCCGAGCUUAACUUGGGAAUUGCAUUCGAUACUGGUUAGCUAGAGUGUGGGAGAGGAUGGUAGAAUUCCAGGUGUAGCGGUGAAAUGCGUAGAGAUCUGGAGGAAUACCGAUGGCGAAGGCAGCCAUCUGGCCUAACACUGACGCUGAGGUACGAAAGCAUGGGGAGCAAACAGGAUUAGAUACCCCGGUAGUCCCUGUCUCUUAUAC